UAGCAAUACCGGGGAAGUUUUAGUGGCGAACGGGUGCGUAACACGUGGGCAAUCUGCCAUGAAGUGGGGGAUAGCUCGGCGAAAGCCGAAUUAAUACCGCAUGUGAUCAGUGAAGACAUCUUCACGACAUUAAAGCCGGGGCAACCUGGCGCUUCUUGAUGAGCCCGCGGCCUAUCAGCUAGUUGGUGGGGUAACGGCCUACCAAGGCGGUGACGGGUAGCUGGUCUGAGAGGACGACCAGCCACACUGGAACUGAGACACGGUCCAGACACCUACGGGUGGCAGCAGUCGAGAAUUUUUCUCAAUGGGGGAAACCCUGAAGGAGCGACGCCGCGUGGAGGAUGAAGGCUUUCGGGUUGUAAACUCCUGUCAUUUGGGAACAAUGCUUUCCAGUUAACUGUUGGAAAGUUGAUAGUACCAGAAGAGGAAGAGACGGCUAACUCUGUGCCAGCAGCCGCGGUAAUACAGAGGUCUCAAGCGUUGUUCGGAUUCAUUGGGCGUAAAGGGUGCGUAGGUGGCGCGCUAAGUCAGGUGUGAAAUUUCGGAGCUUAACUCCGAAACUGCAUUUGAUACUGGCGUGCUUGAGGACUGGAGAGGAGACUGGAAUUCUCGGUGUAGCA
rnacentral:rRNA from 1 species